rnacentral:rRNA from 1 species
UGGGGAAUUUUACACAAUGGGGGAAACCCUGAUGUAGCAACGCCGCGUGGAGGAUGACGGAUCUAGGUCUGUAAACUCCUUUUAUAAGGGAAGAAAUUUGACGGUACCUUAUGAAUAAGCACCGGCUAACUCCGUGCCAGCAGCCGCGGUAAUACGGGGGGUGCAAGCGUUACUCGGAAUCACUGGGCGUAAAGGGAGCGUAGGCGUUUUAUUAAGUCUUGAGUGAAAGCUCGCAGCUCAACUGCGGAACUGCUCAGGAAACUGAUAGAAUUGAGUAUGGAAGAGGUAGGUGGAAUUUCCGGUGUAGGGGUAAAAUCCGUAGAUAUCGGAAGGAAUACCAGAAGCGAAGGCGACCUACUGGGACAUUACUGACGCUGAGGCUCGAAAGCGAGGGGAGCAAACA